rnacentral:rRNA from 1 species
AUGCACGCUGGCGGCGUGCCUUAUACAUGCAAGUCGAGCGAACAGACGAGGAGCUUGCUCCUCUGACGUUAGCGGCGGACGGGUGAGAAACACGUGGUUAACCUACCUAUAAGACUGGGAUAACUUCGGGAAACCGGAGCUAAUACCGGAUAAUAUAUUGAACCGCAUGGUUCAAUAGUGAAAGACGGUUUUGCUGUCACUUAUAGAUGGAUCCGCGCCGCAUUAGCUAGUUGGUAAGGUAACGGCUUACCAAGGCAACGAUGCGUAGCCGACCUGAGAGGGUGGUCGGCCACACUGGAGCUGAGACACGGUCCAGACUCCUACGGGAGGCAGCAGUAGGGAAUCUGCCGCAAUGGGCGAAAGCCUGACGGAGCGACGCCGCGUGAGUGAUGAAGGUCUUCGGAUCGUAAAGCUCUGUUAUUAGGGAAGAACAAAUGUGUAAGUAACUAUGCACGUCUUGACGGUACCUAAUCAGAAAGCCACGGCUAACUACGUG